ensembl:lncRNA
CUCUUACACAAACCAUACAGACAUGGCAAAGGUUGAAUCGCCAGUCACAGCUUUGAUAGCAACUGUAUACAGGCCACCAAAUUACAGCCACGUGAGGUUUUUACCACAAAUGCAAUGUCUUUUGGACUCAUUGGAAAUGAUGAAUUGCCAACCAAUUAUUGUUUGUGGAGAUUUCAAUGAGGACCUUAUGAGCAGAGGAAAAAAACCCAUCCAAGAACUGUUUCAGUCAAGAGGAUAUGCACAACUUAUUACUGCUGCAACUACCGAAAAACACACAUUGAUUGAUCACCUUUACAUAUCACAGCCAUACGCCUGCCUCCAAUCAGGUGUUCUGAAUACAUAUCACAGUUAUCACAACCCCAUUUAUUGUGUAAUUCACUAACACAAAAUGACUGCAAGGUUGUGAGGGAUAUGGACUUGCCAAGUGAUCUUAGUGUCUUUGCAACUGAGCACACUCUACCACCAACAAGGACAGCUCACCAGUGGGAGCUGAUAGAUAAGACUGCUCUCAUCCAUUGAAGAGCUGACCAGAAACGUGAACAGAGAGACUGCAACUGCACCUGAUGGGAUCCCUGCCAUAACAGAUGUGUUCUGUCCAGUGAAGGCAGUGGAGAAGCCCUACACUGAUCUUGAAACUGUGCCACGCUAGUAGAGACCGGCUACAAGGAUGGGCAGCUGUUUUCACAAAGUCAGCCAACCACUUGCUUCCAAAUGACCCUUAUCCAGAAGUAUCCGUGAGUGCCUCAUCAACAGAAACUAAAGUGGAGACCUACCUCUCAGAGAAAAACGCACACAUAAGAAAAGCCGACCCACUUCAGUACUGGGAAGAACAUCCUAAUCUGUUUCCCUCUAUGGCUGCUGUUGCGAUCCCAGUGUGCCCCCUGUAGCUCUGUGGACAGUUUUGGAUUUGUUUACAUCUCACCCAACCGCUCACGGCAGAUGGCUGCACCUCUCUAAGCCUGGUUCUGCCGGAGGUUUCUUCCUGUUAAAAGGGAGUUUUUCCUUCCCACUGUCGCCAAAGUGCUUGCUCAUAGGGGGUCAUAUGAUUGUUGGGUUUAUCUAUAUACAUUGAUGCUUGUAUGCUUUUCAUUUAUACUUUUGCCUUACUCUUCGGUUCAUAAUAUAAAGUUACUUGAAUGUUUUCCUUUUCCUUUUUUAUUUUAUAUUGCUUUGCUAUUUACCACAAUCUAAAUAUCAUGUUUAAAUGUCAUACAUUAUUGUAAAUGGUAUUUGUACAAAAUAUUGUUUGAAUAACAUGAUACAUUUUAGUCCCACAAGGGGAAAUUUCAUAAUUUGCAUGUGGAAUUUCCCCUUUCACAUUAAAAUACCUUUGAAAUACAAAUUGAAUACCGCUUAAUGGACAUUUAUUUCUACCACUUUAAAC